AAACUUAAAGGAAUUGACGGGGGCCCGCACAAGCGGCGGAGCAUGCGGAUUAAUUCGAUGCAACGCGAAGAACCUUACCUGGGUUUGACAUAUACCGGAAACAUCUGGAGACAGGUGCCCCGCAAGGUCGGUAUACAGGUGGUGCAUGGCUGUCGUCAGCUCGUGUCGUGAGAUGUUGGGUUAAGUCCCGCAACGAGCGCAACCCUCGUUCUAUGUUGCCAGCGGUUCGGCCGGGAACUCAUAGAAGACUGCCGGGGUCAACUCGGAGGAAGGUGGGGAUGACGUCAAGUCAUCAUGCCCCUUAUGUCCAGGGCUUCACGCAUGCUACAAUGGCUGGUACAAAGGGCUGCAAUACCGCAAGGUGGAGCGAAUCCCAUAAAGCCAGUCUCAGUUCGGAUUGGGGUCUGCAACUCGACCCCAUGAAGUCGGAGUCGCUAGUAAUCGCAGAUCAGCAACGCUGCGGUGAAUACGUUCCCGGGCCUUGUACACACCGCCCGUCAAGUCAUGAAAGUCGGUAACACCCGAAGCCGGUGGCCUAACCCUUGUGGAGGGAGCCGUCGAAGGUGGGACCGGUAAUUAGGACU
rnacentral:rRNA from 1 species